ACGAACGCUGGCGGCGUGCUUAACACAUGCAAGUCGAACGGUGAAGGGAUCAGCUUGCUGGUUCUGGAUGAGUGGCGAACGGGUGAGUAACACGUGAGUAACCUGCCCCCUUCUUCUGGAUAACCGCAUGAAAGUGUGGCUAAUACGGGAUAUUCUGCGCCUGCUGCAUGGUGGGUGUGGGAAAGAUAUUGUUUCGGUGGGGGAUGGGCUCGCGGCCUAUCAGCUUGUUGGUGGGGUGAUGGCCUACCAAGGCGGUGACGGGUAGCCGGCCUGAGAGGGUGGACGGUCACACUGGGACUGAGACACGGCCCAGACUCCUACGGGAGGCAGCAGUGGAGAAUAUUGCACAAUGGGCGCAAGCCUGAUGCAGCGACGCCGCGUGAGGGAUGGAGGCCUUCGGGUUGUGAACCUCUUUCGCCAGUGAAGCAGGCCUGUCCCUUGUGGGUGGGUUGACGGUAGCUGGAUAAGAAGCGCCGGCUAACUACGUG
rnacentral:rRNA from 1 species